CCUACGGGUGGCAGCAGUGAGGAAUAUUGGUCAAUGGUCGGGAGACUGAACCAGCCAAGCCGCGUGAGGGAUGAAGGUACAGAGUAUCGUAAACCUCUUUUGUCAGGGAAGAGUAGAAGACGGUACCUGACGAAUAAGCCACGGCUAACUACGUGCCAGCAGCCGCGGUAAUACGUAGGUGGCAAGCGUUGUCCGGAUUUACUGGGUGUAAAGGGCGUGUAGCCGGGUUGACAAGUCAGAUGUGAAAUCCUGCGGCUUAACCGCAGAACUGCAUUUGAAACUGUUGAUCUUGAGUACUGGAGAGGCAGACGGAAUUCCUAGUGUAGCGGUGAAAUGCGUAGAUAUUAGGAGGAACACCAGUGGCGAAGGCGGUCUGCUGGACAGCAACUGACGGUGAGGCGCGAAAGCGUGGGGAGCAAACAGGAUUAGAUACCCCUGUAGUC
rnacentral:rRNA from 1 species